GAUGAAGAACGCAGCGAAAUGCGAUAAGUAAUGUGAAUUGCAGAAUUCAGUGAAUCAUCGAAUCUUUGAACGUACAUUGCGCCCGCCAGUAUUCUGGCGGGCAUGCCUGUCUGAGCGUCAUUUCAACCCUCAUGCCCCUAGGGCGUGGUGUUGGGGAUCGGCCAAAGCCCGCGAGGGACGGCCGGCCCCUAAAUCUAGUGGCGGACCCGUCGUGGCCUCCUCUGCGAAGUAGUGAUAUUCCGCAUCGGAGAGCGACGAGCCCCUGCCGUUAAACCCCCAACUUUCCAAGGUUGACCUCAGAUCAGGUAGGAAUACCCGCUGAACUUAAGCAUAUCAAUAAGCGGAGGA
rnacentral:misc_RNA from 1 species